rnacentral:tRNA from 1 species
GGGGAUAUGGCUCAGUUGGUAGAAUGUUUGCCUCACAUGCACAAAGCCUUGGGUUUGAUCCCCAGCACCACCA